rnacentral:rRNA from 1 species
GAUGAACGCUGGCGGCGUGCCUAAUACAUGCAAGUCGAGCGAACGGACUAGAAGCUUGCUUCUCUGAUGUUAGCGGCGGACGGGUGAGUAACACGUGGAUAACCUACCUAUAAGACUGGGAUAACUUCGGGAAACCGGAGCUAAUACCGGAUGAUAUUUUGAACCGCAUGGUUCAAAAGUGAAAGACGGUCUUGCUGUCACUUAUAGAUGGAUCCGCGCUGCAUUAGCUAGUUGGUAAGGUAACGGCUUACCAAGGCAACGAUGCAUAGCCGACCUGAGAGGGUGAUCGGCAACACUGGAACUGAGACACGGUCCAGACUCCUACGGGAGGCAGCAGUAGGGAAUCUUCCGCAAUGGGCGAAAGCAUGACGGAGCAACGCCGCGUGAGUGAUGAAGGUCUUCGGAUCGUAAAACUCUGUUAUUAGGGAAGAACAUAUGUGUAAGUAACUGUGCACAUCUUGACGGUACCUAAUCAGAAAGCCACGGCUAACUACGUG